GAGCGAACGCUGGCGGCAGGCCUACCCCAUGCAAGUCGAACGAACUCUUCGGAGUUAGUGGCGGACGGGUGAGUAACACGUGGGAACGUGCCUUUUGGUUCGGAAUAACUCAGGGAAACUUGUGCUAAUACCGAAUGUGCCCUUCGGGGGAAAGAUUUAUCGCCAUUAGAGCGGCCCGCGUCUGAUUAGCUAGUUGGUGAGGUAACGGCUCACCAAGGCGACGAUCAGUAGCUGGUCUGAGAGGAUGACCAGCCACACUGGGACUGAGACCCGGCCCAGACUCCUACGGGAGGCAGCAGUGGGGAAUCUUGCGCAAUGGGCGAAAGCCUGACGCAGCCAUGCCGCGUGAAUGAUGAAGGUCUUAGGAUUGUAAAAUUCUUUCAACGGGGACGAUAAUGACGGUACCCGGAGAAGAAGCCCCGGCUAACUUCGUG
rnacentral:rRNA from 1 species